rnacentral:rRNA from 1 species
ACGCAAGUAGCAAUACUUGAGUGGCGGACGGGUGAGUAACGCGUGAGAAUCUGCCUAGAGGUUGGGGACAACCACUGGAAACGGUGGCUAAUACCCAAUGUGCCUAUUCGUGAAAGAUUUAUCGCCUCUAGAUGAGCUCGCGUCUGAUUAGCUAGUUGGUAGGGUAAAAGCCUACCAAGGCAUCGAUCAGUAGCUGGUCUGAGAGGAUGACCAGCCACACUGGGACUGAGACACGGCCCAGACUCCUACGGGAGGCAGCAGUGGGGAAUUUUCCGCAAUGGGCGAAAGCCUGACGGAGCAAGACCGCGUGAGGGAAGAAGGCUCUUGGGUCGUAAACCUCUUUUGUCAGGGAAGAACACAAUGACGGUACCUGACGAAUCAGCCUCGGCUAACUCCGUGCCAGCAGCCGCGGUAAUACGGAGGAGGCAAGCGUUAUCCGGAAUUAUUGGGCGUAAAGCGUCCGUAGAUGGUCGCUUCAAGUCUGCUGUCAAAGACCGGGGCUUAACCCCAGAAAGGCAGUGGAAACUGAACAGCUAGAGAGAGGUAGGGGUAGAGGGAAUUCCCAGUGUAGCGGUGAAAUGCGUAGAGAUUGGGAAGAACAUCAGUGGCGAAAGCGCUCUACUGGACCUUAUCUGACAUUGAGGGACGAAAGCUAGGGGAGCGAAUGGGAUUAGAUACCCCAGUAGUCCUAGCCGUA